rnacentral:lncRNA from 1 species
GUUCUACUGAGAAAUUUUUAGGAUAAAAUUCUAUUUAUCCUCCAGUCGGAUGGUGAAAGACAAAACCUUGAACCUGGUGACUGGGCAGAGCAGCCCUUGCCUUGCAAGUCUCUCCUGGUCACAGGCACAGACACCUUCAAGAGACAGCCAAGGGCUCUGAGGGAAGGGGCAGGAGGUUGUAAUAUUAAACUUCUCCCACCUCCUCCUCAGCCCAUUCUGUGCCCCCGCCCCAGCCAGGAAGGCUGCCCUUCCCCACCCAACCCUGUCCAGGGUCUCUGGUCUGCAGAGGGUCAAGGCCAGGGUGGGGUCAGGGACCCCACAGUGUACCCUCCAUGCAUCAGACACUGCUACCCUCAUUCUAUCAUCCUGAGCUCACCACUUAGAAUUAAACUUGUCUGAGGUUCAAUUAGCAGAUGGCGAGUGCUGGGGAGUGGACUGCUAAACCAGACAGUCCCAACCACCAAGCAGGAAGACUGAAAGUACAAACCCCAAGGCUCCCCGUCUCCAAAGGUCACGUUGAGUUGUCUACUCUGACCGUCUACUUCUUUGCCAAUCCGUGAUAGAAAGAGGCUAUGCCUAGGAAGAGGACAUGGCCGCCUCUCCAAUAAUUGAAGCUCCCCCAGAAGCGGGCGAUUUGAUGGCCACCAUUCGACUGGGUUGCUCCGCGCGCUUUGAACCCACGUUUCUAUGUGUGUCAAUUGCAAAAGAAUUCUUCUUGCUAACAAGGAGGUUUUUCAAACCACUGAUCUUUGUAAAGAACGAGCUCCCUGAGCACUUCCCUGCCCAAACAAUAGGCACCCCUUUAUGAACUCCCCGGACUGGACAAUCUAAGCUCCUUAGCGCGGCAUUUCAGGCUUUGCACGACCGGGCUCUACCUCCCCUCCCGAUGCCACUGGCUCAUACCAUGCUUCACCCUCGGCCCGGCAGCGCUGCAGCAGUGAGCAGUUCCGAGGGCGCGGUGUGCUCUGUACCUGCCUGUAUUCGCUGCCCCAAAUGCCUUUCCACGUUAACACCUAAUGGAUGUGUAACUGAUGUGAUUCUGCAAUCUGUAUACGGGGUAAAAAUGGGAGUUCAUAACCCACUUGAAUCAAAGUGUGAAAUAUGAUAUAUCA